UUUCAAUUUUAGGUUUUGUAUUUGUUCAUAUGACAAAUCUACUGAGUCUUCUUCUUCCGCCCAAUAUUAUUUUCUUCACCAAAAUCAGAUCUAGACCACGAUUUCUUCAUGGUGCAGUGAGCGUGGAAGAUCGUGAAAGAGGUGAAGUUUUAGCCACAAAUACAGUAUUGAGUUAGCAUCAAUGGCCGACACUCCUUACAACCUAAUGUCUGGGGAAAUCACGGGUCACAUGAGAACCAGGAGCUUUCAGCUGGUGAGCUUCGAAAUCUAGCUCGCAUUCUAAGCCAACUCUCGAGUUUGCAGCCACAGAGCGCGAAAUCGAGUACCAAUUUACUUGUGGAUCCAGCAAGUGUUUACUUCCUACAUCCAUGUGAGAAUCCUGGAGUUUCUAUUGUCCCAAUUGUGCUGAAUGCUAAGAACUACAAUUCCUGGUCAAGAGCUAUGAAAUUAGCGCUGAAAUCAAAGAAUAAGAUAGGUUUUGUUGAUGAAACCAUUGUGAAACCAGAUAAAAAUGAUCCUGCAUAUGUAGCAUGGGAUAAAUGUAAUACUUAUGUUGUUUCUUGGUUAAAUCUAUCAUUGAGUGCUGAGAUUGCACAGAGUGUUGUUUGGAAUGAAACUGCUGUAGAUUUAUGGCUUGAUUUGAAGCACAGGUAUUAUCAUGGAGACAGAUACAGGGUUGCUGAAUUAGAAGAAGAGUUGUAUGCUAUGAAACAAGGGAAUCUAAGCAUAACAAAUUAUUUCACCAAGUUGAAGGCUAUUUGGGAAGACAUUGACAGUUUCAAACCAGUUCCACAAUGCAAGGAAUGCUCUGAAAAAUGUGACUGUGGCUUAAGAACUAUGAGAGAUUAUCGAGAUGAAACUUAUGCAGUGAGAUUUUUAAGAGGAUUGAAUGAGCAGUAUGGGACUGUGAGAUCCCAAAUCAUGCUGAUGAAGCCUCUUCCAGACAUCAAUGAAAUUUUUCUCUACUUAUUCAGCAAGAGAGACAGUUUAAUGGAUCAGAUUUGGAGACUCAAAACUUUACAGCUUUGGCCAAUUCAAUUCAUAAUUUCAACAAUAAUUCAAGCAGUGUUUCCAGAGGAAGAGGACGAGGAAUCCGUGGAGGUAGAGGUGGAAGAGGAGGAAGAAAUUCAGCACCUAAGACCUGUUCUUAUUGUCACAAGGCAGGGCAUCUUGUGGAUACUUGUUACCACAAACAUGGAUUUCCACCUCAUCUACAGAGGCAGAAAUGGCCACGAGAGACUAGCAAUGGAGCUAUGGCCAAUAAUAUUGUUGCUGGAAUUGAAGGGAGCAGUACCAACAAUGUCAAGCAGGACAAGGAAGCUGAUGGUCAAUCCCAAUUCAAUCAGAGUUUGAGAGAUGCACUGCUUACCUUUCUUCGGCAGGAGUGUGCACGGUCUUCUCAAGGAACAAGUGUGAGAGAUGUCGAUCAAUCAAAUGCAGGAAAUUGAGGGACCCUACCUCACUUACUGAUUCACAUGUAGUUUCUCCUAGUCCACCAAAUAAUGCAUCAUCUAAUUCUCAUUCAAAUGAUAACAUGCAUCAUCAGGAUCUUAGAAGAUCAACUCGUAUACAUAAACCACCUUCUUAUCUUCAAGAUUAUCAUUGUAUGUUACUUAGAACAGGAAGCUCUAGUAACCAAUCAUGUUCCAAGCGGUACGGUCUAUCUCACAUGGUGGAUUAUGGGAAGCUAUCCCCUACCCAUAGAGCCUUUUUCCUAGCAAUAACCACAACAGUUGAACCGAAGACUUAUGAACAAGCUGUGCUGCACGAAUGCUGGAGAAAUGCAAUUAGUGCGGAAUUGCUUGCUCUUGAGAAGAAUAAAACUUGGUCUAUCACUUCUUUGCCUCUUGGAAAGCGCCUCAUUGGAUGCAAGUGGGUUUUUAAAGUGAAGUUUCACCCAGAUGGUAGUGUUGAACGCCACAAAACACGUCUUGUGGCUCAAGGUUUUCGUCAAAGAGUUGGCUAUGAUUACUUUGAUACAUUCAGUCCGGUUGUAAAAAUCACUACUUUGUGACUUAUUCUUACUCUUGCUGCGGUACAUAAUUGGAAACUUCACCAAUUAGACGUUAAUACAGCAUUUUUGCAUGGUGAGUUGCAAGAAGAGGUUUAUAUAAAACUCCCCCAAGGUCUCGAUGUUUCAAAUAGUGCUGUUUGUAAGUUGAAUCGUUCUUUAUAUGGCUUGAAACAGGCAAGCCGUCAAUGGAAUUUAAGAUUAAGUGGUUUUCUUCAGCAACAUGGCUUUAUCAAGUCUCCUCAUGAUCACUCUUUGUUCACCAAGCACACUAACCUCGGCUUGGCUAUUAUUAUUGUUUAUGUUGAUGAUCUUGUUUUAUCUGGAGAUAAUUUAUUUGAAAUUGAAGCUAUUAAAAGGGCUCUUGAUGCUGAAUUUAGUAUUAAGGACUUAGGCCGGU